CUGAGCCGGGCGUCGAAGAUCCAGGCCGGCGGAGAGCGCGGUCCCCUGAGCUGUGGGCUUGUGAAAGGUGGCUCAGUUUUACCCUCGCCGUACGUUAACACGUCUCACUGAGCAUAUGUUGCGCUUAAUAAUCGAGAAAUACUGCAUCUUUUCAAAACGUUCGUCAUACUUUUAAACGUUUGCCCAAACGUGUGGUUGCGACUGGAAAUGGGGCGGUGAGGUUUUGCCUUUGGAAAACAAGAUACGGGACAGUGCCCAGUUUCCACUCAUCCUACAUGUGGGGAUGUUGGUGAUCACCACCCUGUACAUCAGGUUCCGGGCCUCGGGCUACCUCAAGUUUGGGGCCACCACCCAGGCAGAUGCAGGAAGCUUCAAAUGGUGAGCUACAGCUGAGAGCUGUCUGCCUGGGGCCAGGAGUUGGUGUGAGGAUCCCGAGAGGUUGUACGAGUCUGUCAAGCUCCUCUCCUUGGAUGAUAUUUACCCCACCAACCCCCCACAGUUCUGUGUCCCGUCAGAGAUCAUCGUGCACUUCGCUCUUUCCCAGAUACUGAAGCUCUGGACCUUCGUGGUAGACCUGGGCAUAUGUGCUACCAUGAUCUGUCUGACAUGUCUUCGUUGUGGCACACAGGAUCUUCACUGUGGCAUGCGGGAUCUUUAGUUGUGACAUGCAGACUCUUAGUUGUGGCAUGUGGACUCAGUUGCAGCCUGCAGGCUUAGAGCAUCCUGCGGCAUGCACGCAGGAUCUAUUUCUCCAACCAGGGAUUGAACCCAGGCCCCCUGCAUUGGGAGCGCGGAGUCUCAUGUACUGCACCACCAGGGAAGUCCUGUGGAGAAGACU